AGAACGAACGCUGGCGGCAUGCCUAACACAUGCAAGUCGAACGAGACCUUCGGGUCUAGUGGCGCACGGGUGCGUAACGCGUGGGAAUCUGCCCUUGGGUUCGGGAUAACAGUUGGAAACGACUGCUAAUACCGGAUGAUGUCUUCGGACCAAAGAUUUAUCGCCCAGGGAUGAGCCCGCGCCGGAUUAGCUAGUUGGUGGGGUAAAAGCCUACCAAGGCAACGAUCCGUAGCUGGUCUGAGAGGAUGAUCAGCCACACUGGGACUGAGACACGGCCCAGACUCCUACGGGAGGCAGCAGUGGGGAAUAUUGGACAAUGGGCGAAAGCCUGAUCCAGCAAUGCCGCGUGAGUGAUGAAGGCCUUAGGUUGUAAGCUCGUUUACCGGGAUGAUAAUGACAGUACCGGAGAAUAACGCCCGGACUAACUCCGCGCCAGCAGCCGC
rnacentral:rRNA from 1 species